rnacentral:rRNA from 1 species
GCUACACAUGCAAGUCGAGGGGUAACAGGGAUUGCUUGCAAUCCGCUGACGACCGGCGCACGGGUGCGUAACGCGUAUGCAACCUACCUUCUACAGGGGGAUAGUCAAUAGAAAUGUUGAAUAAUACCCCAUACGAUCUUUGAAUAGCAUUAUUUAAAGAAGAAAGCUCCGGCGGUAGAAGAUGGGCAUGCGUCCUAUUAGUUAGUUGGUAAGGUAACGGCUUACCAAGACUUCGAUAGGUAGGGGUCCUGAGAGGGAGACCCCCCACACUGGUACUGAGACACGGACCAGACUCCUACGGGAGGCAGCAGUGAGGAAUAUUGGACAAUGGAGGCAACUCUGAUCCAGCCAUGCCGCGUGCAGGAAGACUGCCCUAUGGGUUGUAAACUGCUUUUAUACAGGAAGAAAUAUACCUACGUGUAGGUAUUUGACGGUACUGUACGAAUAAGGAUCGGCUAACUCCGUGCCAGCAGCCGCGGUAAUACGGAGGAUCCAAGCGUUAUCCGGAAUCAUUGGGUUUAAAGGGUCCGUAGGCGGUCUUUUAAGUCAGAGGUGAAAUCCUACAGCUCAACUGUAGAAUUGCCUUUGAUACUGAAAGACUUGAGUUAUUGUGAAGUAGUUAGAAUGUGUGGUGUAGCGGUGAAAUGCAUAGAGAUCACACAGAAUACCGAUUGCGAAGGCAGAUUACUAACAAUAUACUGACGCUGAGGGACGAAAGCGUGGGUAGCGAACAGGAUUAGAUACCCUGGUAGUCCACGCCGUAAACGAUGGAUACUAGCUGUUCGACCAACAUUGGUUGGUUGAGUGGCUAAGCGAAAGUGAUAAGUAUCCCACCUGGGGAGUACGGUCGCAAGACUGAAACUCAAAGGAAUUGACGGGGGCCCGCACAAGCGGUGGAGCAUGUGGUUUAAUUCGAUGAUACGCGAGGAACCUUACCAGGCUUAAAUGUAAGUUGCAUGAUUUAGAGAUAGAUCUUUCUUCGGACUACUUACAGUGCUGCAUGGCUGUCGUCAGCUCGUGCCGUGAGUGUCAG